rnacentral:rRNA from 1 species
GACGGAGGAUGCAAGCGUUAUCCGGAAUUAUUGGGCGUAAAGCGUCCGUAGAUGGUUUUGUCAGUCUGCUGUCAAAGCACAGGGCUUAACCCUGUAAAGGCAGUGGAAACUACAAGACUAGAGUGCAGUAGGGGCAGAGGGAAUUCCCAGUGUAGCGGUGAAAUGCGUAGAGAUUGGGAAGAACAUCCGUGGCGAAAGCGCUCUGCUGGACUGCAACUGACAUUGAGGGACGAAAGCUAGGGGAGCGAAUGGG